rnacentral:rRNA from 1 species
UACGUAGGCACCAAGCGUUGUCCGGAUUUAUUGGGCGUAAAGAGCUCGUAGGCGGUUCGGUUAGUCGAGUGUGAAAACUUUGGGCUCAACUCAAAGACUGCACCCGAUACUGCUGUGACUUGAGUCCGGGUAGGGGAGUGGGGAAUUCCUGGUGGUAGCGGUGGAAUGCGCAGAUAUCAGGAGGAACACCGGUGGCGAAGGCGCCACUCUGGGCCGGUACUGACGCUGAGGAGCGAAAGCGUGGGGAGCGAACAGG